GUGAGGAAUAUUGGGCAAUGGGCGCAAGCCUGACCCAGCAACGCCGCGUGGGUGAUGAAGCACUGAGGUGCGUAAAGCCCUGUUAGGAGGGAAGAACGAUCCCACUUGUGGGAUGUGACGGUACCUCCAGAGAAAGCUCCGGCUAACUCCGUGCCAGCAGCCGCGGUAAUACGGGGGGAGCAAGCGUUGUCCGGAUUUACUGGGCGUAAAGCGAGUGUAGGCGGGACGAUUAGUCGAUGGUGAAAUCUUUCAGCUUAACUGGAAAAUUGCCACCGAUACUGUCGUUCUUGAGUUCGGAAGGGGGAAGCGGAAUUCCUGGUGUAGCGGUGAAAUGCGUAGAUAUCAGGAAGAACACCGGUGGCGAAGGCGGCUUCCUGGUCCGACACUGACGCUGAGACUCGAAAGCGUGGGUAGCAAACAGGAUUAGAUACCCCGGUAGUCC
rnacentral:rRNA from 1 species